rnacentral:rRNA from 1 species
CAGCAGCCGCGGUAAUACAGAGGGUGCGAGCGUUAAUCGGAUUUACUGGGCGUAAAGCGUGCGUAGGCGGCUAAUUGAGUCGGAUGUGAAAUCCCCGAGCUUAACUUGGGAAUUGCAUUCGAUACUGGUUAGCUAGAGUGUGGGAGAGGAUGGUAGAAUUCCAGGUGUAGCGGUGAAAUGCGUAGAGAUCUGGAGGAAUACCGAUGGCGAAGGCAGCCAUCUGGCCUAACACUGACGCUGAGGUACGAAAGCAUGGGGAGCAAACAGGAUUAGAUACCCCAGUAGUCCCUGUCUCUUAUAC